rnacentral:rRNA from 1 species
CCGCCCGCCGCGCGCGGCGGGCUACGGGAGGCAGCAGUGAGGAAUAUUGGUCAAUGGGCGGAAGCCUGAACCAGCCAAGUAGCGUGCAGGAUGACGGCCCUAUGGGUUGUAAACUGCUUUUAUACAGGAAUAAAGUUAGCCACGUGUGGUUAUUUGUAGGUACUGUAUGAAUAAGGACCGGCUAAUUCCGUGCCAGCAGCCGCGGUAAUA